AGCAGCCGCGGUAAUUCCAGCUCCAAUAGCGUAUAUUAAAGUUGUUGCAGUUAAAAAGCUCGUAGUUGAAUUUCGGGAUCAAUUUGUUGGUCGUGCCUCGGUACGUACUGGCAUUAUUGGUUUCUACCUUCUGAAGAACCUUGAUGUCAUUAAUUUGGUGUCUUGGGGAAUCAGGACUGUUACUUUGAAAAAUUAGAGUGUUUAAAGCAGGCAUACGCUUGAAUACAUUAGCAUGGAAUAAUGAAAUAGGACGUUUGAUUCUAUUUUGUUGGUUUCUAGGAUCGGCGUAAUGAUUAAUAGGGAUAGUUGGGGGCAUUAGUAUUCAAUUGUCAGAGGUGAAAUUCUUGGAUUUAUUGAAGACUAACUACUGCGAAAGCAUUUGCCAAGGAUGUUUUCAUUAAUCAAGAACGAAAGUUAGGGGAUCGAAGACGAUCAGAUACCGUCGUAGUCUUAACCAUAAACUAUGACCGACUAGGGAUCGGAUGAUGUUAAUUUUUAAUGUACUCAUUCGGCGCCUUAC
rnacentral:rRNA from 1 species